GACGAACGCUGGCGGCGUGCUUAACACAUGCAAGUCGAACGGAAAGGCCCUGCUUUUGUGGGGUGCUCGAGUGGCGAACGGGUGAGUAACACGUGAGUAACCUGCCAUUGACUUUGGGAUAACUUCAGGAAACUGGGGCUAAUACCGGAUAGGAGCUCCUGCUGCAUGGUGGGGGUUGGAAAGUUUCGGCGGUUGGGGAUGGACUAGCGGCCUAUCAGCUUGUUGGUGGGGUAGUGGCUUACCAAGGCUUUGAACCGUAGCCGGCCUGCGCGGGUGACCGGCCACAUUGCGACUGAGAUGCGGCCCAGACUCCUACGGGAGGCAGCAGUGGAGAAUAUUGCACAAUGGGCGGAAGCCUGAUGCAGCAACGCCGCGUGCGGGAUGACGGCCUUCGGGUUGUAUACCGCUUUCGCCUGUGACGAAGCGUGAGUGACGGUAAUGGGUAAAGAAGCACCGGCUAACUACGUG
rnacentral:rRNA from 1 species